rnacentral:lncRNA from 1 species
UUUUUUUUCCUAAUAUAGAAAGUUUGGAGUGUAAUGAGAAUUUUGAGAUGCUAAUAACAAUUAUAUAUAUAUAUAUAUAUAUAUAUAUAUAUAUAUAUAUCUCUCUCUCUACUAAUUAAUAAAACACUUAUUGUCAACCAAAAUCUUAUGAAAUUACCAGUUUAACCCUUUAAUUAAAACAGAACAUGAAUAAGAAAUAUGAGGUAGAAAUGUAAUUUCACACAACCAAAUCUUGCUGUUUUUUUUUUCAAAACAUCACUUAUAUAUAAUUCUAACAUAUCUCUAAUUAAAAAAAAAAAUUCCCAUGUUCUCUAUCACUCCCUUCCUCUCUCCUAUUUCAAAAACCAAAAAAAAAAAAAAAAAAAUUCCUUACACUUUGUGUGUGCCCAUGUGCUAGUGUGUGUGUAUAUAUAUAUAUAUAAGAAUAGUUUUAUGUUUUGAGACACCUUGUGACUAUAGAAUGUUACUUUACAGUGAAAAGAGUUGGAAAGAUAUAUAUAUAUAUAUAUAUAAGAAUAGUUUUAUGUUUGUAUAGUUCUCUUGUUUGAGACACGUUGUGAAUAUAGAAUGUUACUUUAUAGUGAAAAGAGUUGGAAAGAAGUUGUUAAUAAUAGAUUACCGAGAUAAAUAGGUGAUUCUUUGUUUUCAAUUUAUUUGACACAUAAUAUGCAUAUAAGAUUAUUGCGUUAAUAAACACCAAUUUAAGUACUUAAUGUGUCACUUAGCCUUUUUUUACUUGUAAGUGAGAUGUUUUAGGUUCGAUUCUCACCAAAGAUGUAUUGGAACCAUAUUAUUACUAACUCAUUGUGAGGUUUAAACUACUCUCUCAUGCCUUAAUGUAGAUAAUUGUUUAUUAAAAAAAAACUUAAUGUGAUAAAGAGAACAUAAGUUGGAAAAUAAACGUUGGGUUAUAUAGAAUUGUCAUUGAUUGACUUAUUUCUUAAGCCAUUAAAAAUUGCUCAUUAAAAUUUUCUUUUCUGGAUAAAUAGUUUGCUCGUUGUGUUUUGAACGAGUUCCAUCUCAUGAUAUAUAGAACUAUUAAGAGAAAAAUAAAGAAAGAGUUGAGAAAAUAAAGAAAAAGCAACGUAUAGAUUAGGCGCCUUUUGUUGUGAAAGGUUGAGAAGGAUAAGAUCAAAGUUUUUCAGUGUUUGUUAUAAGAAUAACGUUAAAAGAAAAAAAACAAUAAAGGUCUACGUCCACGUAACAUCCUGUUAGAUUGUAUAAUGUCUACACAAAG